UGGGGAAUAUUGGACAAUGGGCGCAAGCCUGAUCCAGCCAUGCCGCGUGAGUGAUGAAGGCCUUCGGGUUGUAAAGCACUUUUGUCCGGAAAGAAAUCCUUGGCUCUAAUACAGUCGGGGGAUGACGGUACCGGAAGAAUAAGCACCGGCUAACUACGUGCCAGCAGCCGCGGUAAUACGUAGGGUGCAAGCGUUAAUCGGAAUUACUGGGCGUAAAGCGUGCGCAGGCGGUUGUCUAAGACCGAUGUGAAAUCCCCGGGCUCAACCUGGGAACUGCAUUGGUGACUGGCAGGCUAGAGUAUGGCAGAGGGGGGUAGAAUUCCACGUGUAGCAGUGAAAUGCGUAGAGAUGUGGAGGAAUACCGAUGGCGAAGGCAGCCCCCUGGGCCAAUACUGACGCUCAUGCACGAAAGCGUGGGGAGCAAAACAGGAUUAGAUACCCCUGGUAGUCCACGCCCUAAACGAUGUCAACUAGUUGUUGGGAUUCAUUUCCUUAGUAACGUAGCUAACGCGUGAAGUUGACCGCCUGGGGAGUACGGUCGCAAGAUUAAAACUC
rnacentral:rRNA from 1 species